rnacentral:rRNA from 1 species
UACGGAGGGUGCAAGCGUUAUCCGGAUUUACUGGGUUUAAAGGGUGCGUAGGUGGGUAGGUAAGUCAGUGGUGAAAUCUUCGAGCUUAACUUGGGAACUGCCAUUGAUACUAUUAAUCUUGAAUACCGUGGAGGUUAGCGGAAUAUGUCAUGUAGCGGUGAAAUGCUUAGAUAUGACAUAGAACACCAAUUGCGAAGGCAGCUGGCUACACGAAUAUUGACACUGAUGCACGAAAGCGUGGGGAUCAAACAGG